CAUAUCCUAUUUAUAUUUUUAUGUCGAAUCUAUAUCCAAAUUUUAAUACUAAUUGUAUAUUAAAAUUUAAAUAUAAAUUUUAUAAAAAUAAAUUCGGAUACGAAUCAAAUAUCAAAUAGAUGCGAAUGUUAUUUACGAAUAUUAAUUGAAAAUUCAGUCCCACUUCUAUUCCUAAACCCACUUGGACUAAAAGUGUGAAGAAAAAGUUUAAAAUAUAAUAGUUAUAUUACUGAUAUGAUAUGGUGUCCCCAACCAAUCAAAAAACUUAAUUUUUUUUGAAAAAUAUUUUUAUUAUAUUUUUUUAUCAAAGAAAAUAUUUGAUUGGUUAGAUAUGGAUAAUGUUAUAUAUUGUUAGUUAAAAUUAUUAUUAUUAUAACCAUUAUAAUAG
rnacentral:lncRNA from 1 species